GACGAACGCUGGCGGCGUGCCUAUUACAUGCAAGUAGAACGCUGAAGAGAGGAGCUUGCUCUUCUUGGAUGAGUUGCGAACGGGUGAGUAACGCGUAGGUAACCUGCCUUGUAGCGGGGGAUAACUAUUGGAAACGAUAGCUAAUACCGCAUAACAAUGGAUGACACAUGUCAUUUAUUUGAAAGGGGCAAUUGUUCCACUACAAGAUGGACCUGCGUUGUAUUAGCUAGUAGGUGAGGUAAUGGCUCACCUAGGCGACGAUACAUAGCCGACCUGAGAGGGUGGUCGGCCACACUGGGACUGGGACACGGCCCAGACUCCUACGGGAGGCAGCAGUAGGGAAUCUUCGGCAAUUGGGGCAACCCUGACCGAGCAACGCCGCGUGAGUGAAGAAGGUUUUCGGAUCGUAAAGCUCUGUUGUAAGUCAAGAACGGGUGUGAGAGUGGAAAGUUCACACUGUGACGGUAGCUUACCAGAAAGGGACGGCUAACUACGUG
rnacentral:rRNA from 1 species